GAGAGGCAGUGCUGAGUUAAAGACACACAAACACAGACACAUUACAGCAAAAUAGCGAGAGAGGAGAGAGACAGAUGAUCAGAGCUUCAGCCGCUUGUACUGAUUUUCAAACAUUGAUCAUGAAUAUAUCGAGAGGAUCUGACUGAAUCUGUCGCUUGUGUGUGUAAAGGAGUCAAAGCGAAACCAUUUUUCCCCCCGUGGCGCACGGAUUUCUCGCCCUAUUAAUCAGUCCGAUUGCAAAUCAUCUUUACAGAAGAUAUUAGCGAUAAUCGUAUAAUUUACUGUGCAUUUGAGAAGAAAGGAUCUUUUAAACAUGGGAUGUUUGGGCAACAGCAAGACAGAGGAUCAGCGCAUCGACGAGAAGGCUCAACGAGAAGCGAAUAAAAAGAUCGAGAAACAGUUACAGAAAGAGAGACAGGCGUAUAAAGCCACACACCGCUUGCUCUUAUUAGGCGCUGGGGAAUCCGGGAAGAGCACUAUUGUCAAACAGAUGCGAAUCCUGCACGUCAACGGCUUUAACGCAGAAGAAAAGAAGCAAAAAUAUUGGAUAUCC